rnacentral:rRNA from 1 species
GACGAACGCUGGCGGCGUGCCUAAUACAUGCAAGUCGAGCGAAUCAAUAGGAGCUAGCUCCUGUUGGUAGCGGCGGACGGGUGAGUAACACGUGGGCAACCUGCCUGUAAGACUGGGAUAACACCGGGAAACCGGUGCUAAUACCGGAUAAUUCUUUUCCUCUCAUGAGGAAAAGCUGAAAGUCGGUUUCGGCUGACACUUACAGAUGGGCCCGCGGCGCAUUAGCUAGUUGGUGAGGUAACGGCUCACCAAGGCGACGAUGCGUAGCCGACCUGAGAGGGUGAUCGGCCACACUGGGACUGAGACACGGCCCAGACUCCUACGGGAGGCAGCAGUAGGGAAUCUUCCACAAUGGACGAAAGUCUGAUGGAGCAACGCCGCGUGAGCGAUGAAGGCCUUCGGGUCGUAAAGCUCUGUUGUUAGGGAAGAACAAGUACCGGAGUAACUGCCGGUACCUUGACGGUACCUAACCAGAAAGCCACGGCUAACUACGUGCCAGCAGCCGCCGUAA